AGUGGCGGACGGGUGAGUAACGCGUAAGAAUCUAACUUCAGGACGGGGACAACAGUUGGAAACGACUGCUAAUACCCGAUGUGCCGCAAGGUGAAACCUAAUUGGCCUGAAGAAGAGCUUGCGUCUGAUUAGCUAGUUGGUGGGGUAAGAGCCUACCAAGGCGACGAUCAGUAGCUGGUCUGAGAGGAUGAGCAGCCACACUGGGACUGAGACACGGCCCAGACUCCUACGGGAGGCAGCAGUGGGGAAUUUUCCGCAAUGGGCGAAAGCCUGACGGAGCAACGCCGCGUGAGGGAGGAAGGUCUUUGGAUUGUAAACCUCUUUUCUCAAGGUAGAAGUUCUGACGGUACUUGAGGAAUCAGCCUCGGCUAACUCCGUGCCAGCAGCCGCGGUAAUACGGGGGAGGCAAGCGUUAUCCGGAAUUAUUGGGCGUAAAGCGUCCGCAGGUGGUCAGCCAAGUCUGCCGUCAAAUCAGGUUGCUUAACGACCUAAAGGCGGUGGAAACUGGCAGACUAGAGAGCAGUAGGGGUAGCAGGAUUUCCCAGUGUAGCGGUGAAAUGCGUAGAGAUUGGGAAGAACAUCGGUGGCGAAAGCGUGCUACUGGGCUGUAUCUGACACUCAGGGACGAAAGCUAGGGGAGCGAAAGGGAUUAGAUACCCCUGUAGUCCUAGCCGUAAACGAUGGAUACUAGGCGUGGCUU
rnacentral:rRNA from 1 species